rnacentral:lncRNA from 1 species
CAGAAGUUAUGAUGUUGGGAAAAAGUUCCCGUUCUGACCAUCCUCAGUACCAAAGUCGAUUUUGUUUACUUCAUCGGAACUUUCUUGUAUCUCUACUUCUACUAAAGCAAAGCCAGCGUGACGGAAACAAUUUUGAAUUGUUGUUUAACUUUGUGACGUGCUCGGGCCCUCGGCCGCGAACCCGCCUUGAGUUCGACCCCGGUCCUCAUCACUUGUUCGUCUUUUGAUCUUAAUACUGAUCUCCCAUUUCAUGUCUCGAAGCCAACGUAACACACCAAAACAAUCCAUACUAGACUUGUUAGACGUAGAUUUAUUAGUAUGACCAAAAAUAAAUUUUGCAUCAAAAUUAACAAAGUUAGAAAAAAUACCAAUAAACACGUAGACACUAGUACACUGGUUAGCACAAUGAUGAUGCCGUUAAUGAUACAUAAGCCAACUUCCGAC